CCUAAUUCGUUUCUGAUUCUAAUGUUACAAUAAACUUAUUUUGAGUACAAGUCAUGCCAUAUAAUCUAAUGAUAUUACUUGGUCACACAGAUGUGAAGUUACAUUGUGUUAAAUUAAUGUAAUUGUGUUGCCUUGUAAUGUUAUAGCAGUGGUAACAACCUUUUCCCCUUUAUUCACAACAGAAAACAAUAGUCUUUCUAAAGACUUCCUCCAUUCUCCACCCUCCAUCUCCACCCUCCAUCUCCACCCUCCAUCUCCAACUUCCCUUGUGGUUUUUGCCACGGGUAAAAAACAAUCUUCAUUUGUGGUGCUGCGGACUUCAGGCUUGUUCCAGACCAGCCCUGUCAGAGUGGUGUCUGUCACUUGUGACACUGUGCCUGUCUGUCUGCACACCCUGCACUGCACUCAUAUACAACAGAACCCACUUACGCCUACCUGCAAACAUAUAACGACAAGUGACACUUUCUGACAACAUACUUGACUGCACAUACUAAACUCUUUACAUAUAACUGUGUCCCCUCAGACAACUUCUUUGACUUUGAAACUUGAAUACUCCUUUGAAACUUGAAACUUGAAACUUGAAACUUGAAAACUUGAAACUUGAAAACUUUGAAACUUGCAUACCACUCUGAACCAGCAGCAUCCUUUAACAUAACAUACCUACAAACAUACCUGCAAACAUAUAACGACAAGAAUUGAUCACUUUCUGAACACACAUACUCUGAACUGUAUAAAGACUCUGAAACAUACUAAGAACUACCUGUGAACUAUUCAGAUAGAGAACUAUUUCUGUGAACUUUUACAUACCUUACAUACAACGUUUGUAUAUUUGAAUAAUUUCUGUCAAAGUUGUCUUUGCUGUUGCAUAUCCACUUUUAGACCUGAGCUGUGCUGCAAGACUGAACCUGGGCUGUGUGAGGACUUCAACAUUCCACCCUAGUUCUGCAUAAAACUGAUCUCAAGGGCUGCCUCUCAUUCUCCAUCGGUGUCAUCAAGUGUUACCUCUACCUAACAGUUCCAGCGCCAUAUUUGAUCAUUUAAUCAAUAACUCGACUUAAGUAAAUAUUUUGUGUGAAAGCUCAUACUCUGAACUAUAUAAAGACUCUGAACCAUUACAGAUAACUACAGUCUGUUAACUAUUCACAUAGAGAACUGUUACUGUGAAAUAUACAUACCCAUCAACGUUUAUAUUUGAAUAAUAUCUGCCAAAGUUGUCUUUGCUGUUGCAUACCUACUUUUACACCUGAGCUGUGCUGCACGACUGAACCUGGGCUGUGUGAGGACUUCAACAUUGCAUCCUAGUUCUGCAUAAAACUGGUCAUCUCAAGGGCAAUUCAUUUUUUGGGGCCCACUGAUCAUUGUAAUAAACCACUGAAAUAAAUACUAGUGUUUGGA